GGGAUGUGAUGAGUGGUCGAGUCUCGCUUAAGAUAUGCGAGUUGGGUGUCUGCCCCAAGCCUGGUUACGACAAUUGGGCACUCUCAUUUGAUCAAUCUGAUCCC